ensembl:lncRNA
CCCAAUGUGAGUUGGCCUCAUCCAAUACACUGAAGGCUUGAAUAGAUCAAAAAGACUGAGUAAGGAAGAAUUUGCUCUCUCUGCCUGGCUGUCUUCAAGUCGAGACGUCAGUUUUCCUCUGCCUUUAGACUUGGACUCAAACCGGUACUGUACCGUUGGCUCCCCUGAGUCUCCAGCUUGCCAACUGUAGAUCUUAGGACUUCUCAGCCUCCAUAAUCACCACAGCUCUCCCAGCAGCCCCCGCCUUUGGGGGUGAUCAAAAGAAUUGCUAGAUUCACGCCUCGCCGCUCCUUGCCCAGCAACAGCCUCCCGUUCUCCAGUCUUGUUACCUGCCGUGCCUCUGUGAUGAGCCAAAACUGUGUCUCCCCAAGUUCUUGUGUUGAAGUCCUGAGCUCCAGUGCCCAGAAUGUGACUGUAUUUGGAGACACAGUCUUUAAAGAGCUAAGUUAACAGGAGGUCCUACGGGUGGCCCCUUAUCCACUGUGACUGGUGUCCUUCUAAGAAGAGGAAAUUAGGACACAGUUAUGCUCAGAGGCAAGACCAGCUGAAGACACAGAGAGAUGAUGGCCAUCUACAAGCCACGGGGAGAGGCCUCCAAAGUAACCAACCCUGCCGACACCUUGAUCUCAGACUUCCAGCCUCCAGAGUGUGAGAAAAUAACUUUUUCUCAUUGAAGACUCCCAGUCUGUGGCACUUUGUUGUGGAAGCCCUGGCAAGUAAUACACCCUCUAUCCCCCUCCAGCCAGAGUGAGCUUUCGGCAGGGCCGCGCUGAGCCCUCGCUCUUCAGCACCUACAAGAUGAAGUCUAGUGUGGUCUGUAGCCCUCUCGUCCUCCGGCCCCUGCCCACCUCUCUGAACACAUCCCUCCCUGAUACCCCAAACCCAGCUUUAGGCAUCAGGCUCCGGAGAUAUCAGACAGAUUCGAGUUCUCCGCACAGUCCAUGCCCCUUCACACCGCCACGUCUCUGCUUGGAGGGCCCUUUGGCUCGCUCAUGUGCCUGGCUAACUCCUGGUCGGCUGCAAAGCCUGCUCAGACAUCACCUGCCCUGGGCAGCCCUUUCCGACUGCUCCUUCUCCUGUGCACUCAGCACCUGGUUCACUUGUUCCACAGGGUCACACGGAUAUGAUUGUCCCUCACCAUAUCCCUCUGCUGGAGAGUGAGUGUCUGGAAUGCCUUACUCUUCUAUCUCUGGUCUUAGGCCAGGCAGCAAGGUCCUUAAUAGACUUCUGUUGAAUUGAGUUGAAUUUUGGAUCUAUAGGGGUCGUGGGCCUUUGCUCUAAGGAGAAGAUAAAAGAGAGGGGCCUGGUGACAAUCUGGCUCCAACCAAGCCUGGCACUAGCAAGUGUGUCUCCUGAGAGGGUCUGAUCAUGGACAUGCAGCUGGGCUGUGUUUGUGGGCUGCAUGCGUGGCACAGCUGGUUGGAUGAGUAUCUGCCUCCAUCUCUACAGGUCGAGCGCCUUGGGACAAGGACAAUUCUGGUUCCCAGUUGUGUCUGCCCGGCCUCAGCACACUCUGGUGAAAGGCACCAGGCAUGUUUAAAGAAUGCUCCAGGGGCAGAGAGUAGAGAUUAAGAGUAUUGUCCCUUACCUCAAAGAGGCACAGCUUUGGGUCUUAGCUCCGCCACUUAGUAGGUAUGUGACUUUGCGGUAAAUUACUUAAUCUUGCUAGGUCCUAUUUUUCUCAUCUAUCAAAUGGGGAUAAUAACACCUACACCCUAGUGUGGUGUUGAGGGGAUUAGAUGCAAUAAUUUCUCUCCAUCAUCUACCUACCUACUCUACUUACCUACAUCAUCUAUCUAUCCAUCUAUAUAUCUAUUAUCAACCUAUCUAUUGAUCUAUCUAUGGAUCUACUGAUCCAUCGAUCCAUCUGUCUAUCUAGUGCUUUGCCCAAUUCCUGGCACUACCAAUGCUCAGUAGAUGUUAGUUUUAUAAGCUGAGAAGGGAAUAUUUUCUUCAUUUCCCUCAGCUUAAAUGACGGGGCUCAGACAGAGAAGGGCCUGUUCCAAGGCUGUUCCGAUUUUUUUUUUUUUAAAGAUUGGCACCUGAGCUAACAACUGUUGCCAAUCUUCUUUUCUUUCUUUCUUUCUUUUGUUUGUUUUUCAUUUUUCUGUUCAGACUUUUGACCCGUGCUCCCACAUCAACCACAGGCCCAGAAGAGGAAUAAUAAUAAUGAUAAUAAUCAUAGUAACAGCAAUUGCCCACUCUGUGCAGCACCUGGCAGCUCCAUACAAUGCACGGGAGUUCAUAAAAUGCUCCCCUGUCCACUGUUCUGUGAUAUGCACCCAGAAACCCACUCAACCCCAUGGCAGGAAGACCCCAGCAUCCAAAUGAGAGAUGGUGAGAACACCACAUCGCACGUGACAGCAGCCUUCGCAUCCUGGGGCCCAGCUGUGGCUCCUCUUGUCCAUCACAUUCGACUCUUUUCCUUGCCAGAAGGCAUAAAUAGAGAAGGCUCUUCCAGAGGCCAAUUGAGCUUUUAAGGGAGUUUGACCUUGAGGGUCCUUUUCCUGGGCUUGGAGAGAAAGUAGAGGUGGCUGGGACAAGGCUCCUCUCCCCACCUGCCUGCGACAUUACCUGCCUGCUUUGCAGAGGUCGGCUCUCCCUGGCAGCCAUCCCAGGCAGCCGGCCCGUCCUGCGUGCCAUCCCAGAGGGCCAUGUCCUCGUUCACGGACCAUUGGGUGCAGGCUGCUGCUCUCUCCUGCCUAAUUGCCGUUGUCCUUGUUAACACCCUCCCUCUGCCUUCGUGCUUCACACCCACCCACUGCUCCUGGCUCCCCACCCAGUGCCUCCUACUUGAUGAACAAGAUGUAAGUAUACAAGUUAUUAAUCUUCCUACCAAGGCAAUUACAGUCCCUCAAAGUUCCUCCCUGGCCACGUUGGCUCUUCUAUGACAACCUUAUCAGGUUAGCAAUUUCAGAUCUGCAUUAAGUGUUCAGAAAUCAAUUUUCAGCUUAUUUUGUGUUGCAAAGUUUGCCAUGCCUGAAACCGCACCGCUAAUUGAACAAGAGCAAUUGAUGUUUUAGCAGUAAUUAAAGAUGGUAAUUAUGACCAAAUCUCCCCCAUGGCCCUGCCGUGUUUGCUUUUGGACCUGUCAGAAUGGUGGGCAGGCCAAAUCAAUCUUAAUAAAGUUGGUGCUUCAGAAGUCUCUCCAGAAAUGGCAUCACCCUCAGGGUGGGCAUGAUGGAGCCACAGGGAGCAAGGGGGAUGGCAUAUUUGGGGCCACGGGGUGACCAGUUAGCUGGACAGUUGGGCAGUCAUCACGGGUGACCAGUUUAGUCCCCUGGGUGCCCUGCCAGUGCCCAGCUGGGGCUGGGAGUUGCGCGGGGGCAGCAUCCCACAGACAUAGACAAGUGUACUAUACUCUAGCCAUCGAGAUGCUUACAACAUAUUUGGAAAAAUAUGAUGUACAUGCAUGCACAAAAUAACUUUAGAACACUUAUUUUCAUUCAUAAACAUCAGAGUACCUACUAUGUGCUAGGUGUUAGAAGAACAAAAAUAAAAGAUACCAUCCCAAAUGAACUUACACACAAGCUCAAAUGACUACGACUUUUGCGUCUUUUCUCCAGGACUUGUGGUCAAUCCAUGUUCUUGGGUGGUGUUGGCCUGGUAGUUGGGGAGUGGCCCCACCCCUUUCUCUUUUCUCAUCCUCCCAGAGGUUCCUCAUCCUCAGAGAGGCAGCAGAAAAUAUGGACAGAGCUCUGGACCGAGGUCAGAGGGCCCCAGUCCUGGUGUGGCUGCUCUACAUUGUGGCUCUCCCAGCUCUGGCAUCCGAGGACCCAUUUAGCAUCUUACAGAGCAGUCUGAAGUGAGAUGAGGAAGGUGCGAUCAGUGGUAGGAGGUCUCAUUCAUCCUGUUCAGAAUAUCAGUACCAGAUUUGUACUCACCCCUCGAGUUACUGUACCAUGAGGAUGCUCCUAGGUUAGUAUUCAUUCUGUGUGCCGGGCAUUGUGCUUUGUGCCUGUGGAUGCAAAGAUUACUUUUGAGCGAGAGUCUUGGGCAAAUCCCAAUGCCUAUGACACUUGUAGGCAGAAGGUUCACAUAUAUAGGACCCAUGUGAUCCUCAGCCUCUCAGUAUCCCCUGGGGGGUGUGCUUUGUCCUAAAAUGUAGGUUUUAUUAUUAUUCAGAUAUGAGGAGGCCAAAAGAUUAGAUGAUCAUCAUUGGAAAGAUAGUUUCUUACAGUUCCCAAGAAGAAGGGGGUGUGCCACAUCACACAAGGCCACAAGGGGCAGCACCGGGAUCAGUCAGGAGGCAAGAGGGAGUGAGGGGAAAUCAUGGGCAAGAGCUCUGGGGCAUAUGGGCUGUCCCUAGUUCUUUGGGUCCUGUCUUGCGGUGAUUAGGGCAGGUAGAUGGUUGUCUGGAGUGUAAGGGCCCUGUAAGGGCCCAAUAAAGGAGGCGGUUGAAGGAUGCACCCCAAUUAGUUCAUUUGCAUAUGAAAGGCACACUCAAGGGGAGUGUUUGCUGUCUCUAGGAAUUAGCUGGCCCUGGGAGGGGCGUUCCUUCCAGUGUUGGCAAGGCAAUAACAAAUAACCAGAUGUCAGAGCAUCAGCAUAGACAUGCUUGAUACAUGCUUGGGCUGGGCGUGUUGGAUGCAUCGUGGGUUCUGCUCCAGGAGAGGAAUGCCAUGCAAGGCUGUUGUUCUACUGUUUUACAGGGAGAACUUGAGAGCAACAUUGCAAAACCAUGUAAGUGUGGGUGCCAGCUGCUUGAGGGAAUGCAUACCGCACCGGAGCUGGGCGUACUGGGAAUGCAUAGUGGGAGCCACCAACCUCAACCAGCUCAUUUUGGAGCAAUCUAGAGAGACCAUCAGGUCAUUCAGUGGGCACUCCUGUCUGCAUCUCCACAAUGACUAGGACGGGGUGCCUGACCACAGGAGCUUUAUAGUCCAGUAGGGGAGGAAAGACUGGCAAGUGGACAAGAAGAAAGUACAGUACAAGGUCAUGACAUAGCCGUGCCAGGUUUGUGGGAGCACUGAAGAAGGACCUGGGGCGUGAGAGAGGGAUUGCUGGACGCUGGUCCUUAAGGCUGAGCAGAAGUUGAGCAUUUGAAGUUGGAGGGUCCCACUCAGGCGGAGGGGCGCAGCAUGGAGGUGAGAAGCAUUGUGGCAUGUGGCGGGGGCUACUAGAGUGCAGAGGGCAAGGCAGGAGGUAUGAGAGCAGAGUUUGGAGAGGGAGACAGGGCCCACGUCACAUCAGGACGUUUGGCUCAUGCAAAGCCAUCUGAGAUGGGGAAAGGGAAGCCAUGGAAGGUGUCAGGUUUGCCUUUGAGAGAGUUUGUUCAUUCUAACAACAGUGUGUGUGUGGCAGGGUGGGGACAGAUGUAGCAGUGAGGGCUGAGGGACACACUGCAGCUCCCAGGAUGAUUCCUGGAUCUUUCUAGAAAGGUUAGAGGGAGUCCUUGGACAAACGCUCCCUCUGCUCUUGCACCUGGUCACAUGUAGAGGGUCAGGGCAAUAGAGCAGAGAGCCUGGCCCGUGGCUGAAUGAUCCCCACAGCUCCACACUCAGAUCUGCCUUAUCCAAGCCUCUGCUUCAGUGGAGCUGGGAAGAGGCAGGCACAGGUUGAUGGCAGCAGUGUUGGGCAAUGCUGAGGAAUGGACUCUUCUAGAGGAGAGAGCAAGAUGAGCAAGACCUCUGGGCAGAGAAAUGUCCACGAGCCUCUGUCCGGCAUGCAGCCUGUGCUGGCCACAUGCGUGUUUCAAAGCAUGGCUAUUUAGGCCCCAUUCACACAGACAGACCUGCUGAAACAUACAUGUAUAUGUGUAUGUAACAAAUGCACAUACACGUAACAAACACAUAUGUAACAAACAUACAUACCUGCCUGAAUGGAAACACACUGAGCAGCAGAGGUCUGCACAUUUACAGGCACACAGCAGCACAUGUAGCUAUGCCUCGAGUUGUGCAUUUACAUGUGCUCACUGAAACAUACCCAUGUGUGUGCCAUGUGCAUACACACCUGGACACCCGGGGUGGAUAUGUGUGGAUGCUCUCAGCCCUAAUGGGAAUGUUUGCCCUCUGGUCCAGGUGACAUCAGUUUAAAAAACGAGGUAAUUUGGGAGCCAGACAGGUCUUCAAUCAGAGGGCAUAACUCUUCCAGGGGAGGCAGUGGAGAUGGGAUGGGGAGCAAGUACAGAGGAAGGGUGUGGGAGAGAAGCUGAGGGCUGGUCCUUUGGCUUCCUCUGUGGGUAUACCUCACUCUUCCCAUAUCCUGGUCUCUUGUGGGGGGUGUUUAGGCCCCUCAGACAGGUCUACCUUGGCCUUCAGACUCCAAAUGGUCAGUCCCUCUCCUAUCAGGGUCAGGCCAGCCUUCACUGAUGGCCACAAGGGCAGGCCACUGUAAUGGGAAGAUACUGGUUCCAACUCCACAAUGAUGAGGAAAGCGAGUCAGAAAGUUUUCGAGUUUAGAGUUCAUCUUGCUGAACUCUUGCAUUGUCUAGAUGAGCAGGCAGAGGUCCAGAGGGGACAAGUGACUUGCCCAAGGUCACACUGAAGAUGUGUGAGGAGGCGCCUUACCAUAACUUUGAGGCACCCUCUUAAGCAAACCAUACGCCAUGGUCUGGCUAAAGCUCUCUAGGGUCUGCCUAGACAAGACCUGGAGAUGUAUGCUAGCUCAAGCUCAGAUUUUAUUGGCCAGAAUGAUGCCACUUAUAACACGCCUUGGUGCAAGCUAAGGACCUGUGACUACACGGCCAUCUCCUUACCACCAGGUACCCCCACCUUGCUCAUCGGCUACAGUUUGUAUUUGGGCUCCUGUUUUAAAAGCUCUUCACUGGUAUGCCUCUUCUCUGUCCCCUCAAUACUGUCCCCUGAGUCACACUUACUUUCCUGAGUCAGGAGUCUUUCCCAGCGGACAGCAACUCUCCGCCUCCCCAGCUACUCAAGCCGCCGUGACAGCUCAAGCUCCCUGUCUCAGGAAAGGAGAGAGCAGCUGGUCAUUUCUUCCCGGCGUCUCCUGAUGCUACUCCUCUGGGCUAGUCCAACUUACAGACAUAAACCCUGCAAGCACUUUCUAAUCUCUGACUUCUCUAGGAAACAGCAUCAAUGGAGAAGAUAUUGAUGGUGGGAGUUCAGCUAGAGGCCUGGUUUCUCAGUCUCAGCCCUGGGGCUCACUUUGUCUGUACCUUGAUGAGGCUCUGUGCCCUUUCCUGGCUGGGGCUGCUGCGGCAACACCCUACGGGGGUCCGUUUAGGCAGUUGGUAGGGUGGGAGGCCAGGCCAGGGUCCCAGGAUGGGAUGUGCCUGUAGCCCCUGAGUUCGAUGCCCACUGAGUGUCCUCUACCACCUUGGACCCCACAUUCUCUGCAGCGUCUCUCUCAGCUGGCUUGUCUGUGUUCCUGAAGCUCCUUCCCUGGAUGGGUGAUUGAUUAAUUGAUUUACAUAUUUAUUAAAAUGUAUUUUAGUGGCGUCUUUGCCUUUGAUGCCAAAUCUCAUUUCCUAUUGUGGGGCUGCUGACAGCCGGCAUUGUAAAUGCAAAGACACUUUACAAAACAAUUUAAAUAGCAAUUGCCACCAGCUUAAAAAUGAGCAAAACAGACAAAUAAAAUACUGAUGAGGAAAUUGGCAGCUUCAGGACAAGGAGGGCCAGGGGUUUCUAAGUAGCCAGGAGCUCCGGGGGCUGGGAUGGUAAAGGCUGUGUAAUUGUGUCUUUAGAAUGGCCCAGAUUUUAGGUGUGGAUGAAAGGAGGGUAGCAGUCACUGCUCAGGGAGCAAUAGUGCCUUGCCCUUAAAGGUGACCCAUCCUUGGGUAACUUUUCUGAGUAGAGGGGGUUCCAGAUGGAGGGCGCAGUCAGAGUUUGAACCCUAGAUCUUUGCUCUGCGUUCUCAACUUCUGAGAUAGUGUCUGCUUGCCCAGGGAGCACUGUGGGCGCUGAGGCCAGCCUGGAGAUCUGGGAGACCAGCAGGCAGCUUGUUGUCGUCCAGCCAAUGGAGUGGGAAGAGAGUAGAUCGGAAAUUCAAUCUCUGGAUUCCGGUCCCCGCCUGGUCCAGCUGUGACUCUUGGGCAGACUAUGUUCUCUUUCUGGGUCUCUGCUUCCUCUACAGGAUGCACUGCGGUAGAAAUCCAGGAGUACUAGCCUAGGACACUGGAGACUAGAUCUAGUCCUGCUCUCUACUCCCUAGCUGUGUGACUUCCAGCAGAUUGCAUUCCCUCUCUGGGCCUUGUCUGUUGCAUGAGAGGAAGGAAUGUGAUGCUUCGUGAAUCCUUUUUUCUUUUUCUAAAUCUGUGAUAUGCUAGGGGCCCAUGAUACUCUGUGGUCCCGCUGACGGUCUGAUUGCAGAGAGGGAGAGAGGGGAAGGUGAGCGGGUGUGCGGUGGGAGGAGUAACUUGCAGAACAGGAGGCCAAGACCAAACCAGAAUUUGGAGCAGACAGGAUUGCGCUGUUCCUGGGAAAGAGCGGAGAUGAAAGCUGCCAGAAAAGAGGGCAAAAAUCUCCAAAGGUGAGUAGGAUUUUGCUCAUCUUCCUCGUCCCCUCAUCCAUCCUGUCCUCUGGUUGUUUCUUCCCCUCCUGGUUGUGCCUUCUCUGUCUCCAGUGUUUCACUUCCUCCCCCAGCCUCGGGGCAGUCCCCCAAGACCCCUCCUGAUGCUGCCUUUUCCUGCUGCUAGAUUUACUUCCUGCAUGAGCUCAUUUUGCAGCCAUUCUCUCUUUUUCCAAGAUGCUCAAAUUUUCAUUUCUAGUCUUGACCUCUUACCAGAACUCUAGCCUCAUAAAUCCAGCAGCCUGUAGGACAUCUCUCCUUAAAUGUCUUGCUGUCACCAUGAAAUGUCUAAAACCACAUUCAGCAUCUUCCCUUACAAACCACUGCUUCUCCCUGCGACCCCCAGCAUUCUUUUUUUUUUUUUUUAAAUGUAUUCUUCUCUUUUUAGGUUCCUAUAUCCAGGCAGUUAUCAAAAGAAACCUUUAUAUGGUGUUUACAGUUUUCAAGGGACCUUUCUGUGCCUGAUCAUAUUUCUUUCAGGAGACAUUUAUUGAAGACCCAAGAUGUGCCAGGUGCUGUGCUGGUUGUAGUGAAUGUAGAGAUAAAAGAAAUCGUCCCUGCCCUCAAGGAGCCCGUGCUUUGGUGGAGGAGGAAGCUGCAAUUCCUAGAGAAACGGAUUCACAACUUUCCUCAGGAACACUGAUCAGUGUCUUAGAACUCUUCUGCCGGGAAAGUUCUUCCUGACCUCUCACCCCCAUCCCUGUGGCCAAGAUGUCGACUUCCCCGCUGAAAGAGGGAUCCCUCCCCUGCACGGUAUCCCUUGUAGGUGCUUUUACAAAUUGGACUUCAACAGAAGAAAGAUCCCUCACAUUAGAAAUCGAAUCUACUCUCCAAACAUUAAAGGUUUACUAUCUUGGAGGAGAUUCACAACAAUGAAAGCAAGGAAUACAAAACUGCAAAAAAACAAAACUUAAACCGAAAAAACAGAAUAAAUGCAGAGGAUUCACUGGAAUCAACGCAGAGCCCCCCAAAGCAUCAUGUUGCAAGGGCCAACAUUAACCGGAACACAUCAAUCCCGGAGUGUUAAAAGGACGAAGUCUCCCUGGUUUAUGUCACACCUUGUACAGAGAAUAGAAGGGCUAAGGAAUAAAUUGCUGCCUUCGACCUUUUGGAGACUUACAUUGCAGACCGGGUUUUAAGAUGUUCUCUGAUCCCCUGAAGAAAAUAGCAGAAGACCUGGCAUUUGGUUGCUGUAGAAAUGAGAUGGGCUGGAUCUCAUGAAGAACCUCCCCUGAAGAUGAGGCAGAUGGGUGGUGAGGAAGAUUGUCUCUGAGCUAACAUCUGUGCCAAUCUUCCUCUGUUUUGUAUGUGGGACGCCACCACAGCAUGGCUUGAUGAGCAGUGUGUAGGUCUGCACCCAGAAUUUGAACCCAUGAACCCUGGGCCUCUGAAGUGGAGCCCGUGAACUUAACCACUAUGUCACCUGCCGGUAGCUCCGCCGCCUUGCUUUUUUUUUAGCACAUUGCUUUUUAGUUCUGAUCUGUGUGUCCCUGGGCCUCCUGACUGCCCUGUGUUGUGCAGGUAGAUUUCAAUCAGUGUUAUUGAUCAACAUCCCAACUCUAUUCCAGGGAAAGCACAUUCCCAGUCUAAAGCCUGCUUUCCGUGGGUACUUUUCUUCGUUAGAGGCCAUCAUAAGCCUCAGAAAUCAACUCGUCUCAGAGUUGUCGUGAUAAAUAAGGCCUGCAGACAUGACUUUCUGGUGUUUGUUUCAUUUUUUUACUCUUCUCUUGGCGGCUGUGCCCUACCCCUGUUGUUUAACACACCGCUGUUCAGUCAUCUAAUUUCCUUCCUGGUCCCUAAACGGAGUUACAUGAUUCUAGUUAACUGCCUCAUUUUACAGUGGGGGGAACUGAGGCCCAGAGCAGGGUGGUGACUUGCCAAUGGUCAUGUAGCUGGCAGAGCCUGGAAUCGAGUGCUGACCCACCUCCUGGUCCAGUGUGCUUCCUCCUCCACUGUGUGCCCUGGGCAGGAAUGCCUUGUCUGAAC